AUUGAACGCUGGCGGAAUGCUUUACACAUGCAAGUCGAGCGGCAGCGCGGGGCAACCUGGCGGCGAGCGGCGAACGGGUGAGUAAUGCAUCGGAACAUGUCCAGUCGUGGGGGAUAGCCCGCCGAAAGGCGGAUUAAUACCGCAUACGCCCGGGAGGGGAAAGCGGGGGACCUGAAAGGGCCUCGCGCGAUUGGGUUGGCCGAUGUCCGAUUAGCUAGUUGGCGGGGUAAAGGCCCACCAAGGCGAUGAUCGGUAGCUGGUCUGAGAGGAUGAUCAGCCACACUGGGACUGAGACACGGCCCAGACUCCUACGGGAGGCAGCAGUGGGGAAUUUUGGACAAUGGGGGCAACCCUGAUCCAGCCAUUCCGCGUGAGUGAAGAAGGCCUUCGGGUUGUAAAGCUCUUUUGUCCGGAGCGAAACGGUUGUGGUGAACAGCCACGACUACUGACGGUACCGGAAGAAUAAGCACCGGCUAACUACGUGCCAGCAGCCGCCGUAA
rnacentral:rRNA from 1 species